GUCAACAUUCCCAGCAGAGACCCUUCUUGAAGACUGAGAAGGGAGGGGGGAAGACGCCAGGAUAAAAAGGUGGGGGAGAUGGGAAGGAGGAUAGCUAGAAGAUGAUAGGUGAAGCCAAGUGGGUGGGAAAGGUAAAGGGCUGGAGAGGAAGGAAUCUGUCAGAAGAGAAUAGACCAUAGGAGAAAGGAAAGGAGGAGGGGCGCAGGGGGAGGUGAUAGGCAGGUGAAAAGAGGCAUGAGGCUAGAGUGGGGAAUAGAAGAGGGAAGGGGGGGCUUUUUUCCGGAAGGAAAAGUCGCUGUUCAUGCUGUCAGGUUGGAGGCUACCCAGAGAGAAUGAGGCGCUGCUCCUCCACCCUGAGGGGGGCCUCAUCAUGGCACAAGAGGAGGCCACGGACCGGCGUGUCGGGACUUAGGGGAAUUGGAAUAGGAGUUCAUGUAGUUAGCCACCGGGAAAUUCCGCUCUAGGUGGAUGGAGCGGAGGUGCUCGACACCAACGCAGAGGAGGCCCGGUCACAAUAGACAACCCCAACAGAUUCGCAGGUGAAGUGUUGCUUCUGAAUGGAGGAAGUCUGCCACUGGGACUACCCUACCGGCUUGGCUGACGUCCACAGGUCCAGUGCUGCUCCGGAAAAAUGUGAGGAGCAAUAAAUACUCCCCGCUGGUCGAGAGGGUUCACCUUCUACAUGCGAACCCCCAGUAUGCUUACGUGGUCUUACCUGAUGGGCAGGAGGACACGGUCUUCGUCCGCGACCUGGUGCCCGCAAGAGCAGCAGACCACUACCCCGAACACUCCACGGUAACUAUGAACCCUGUACCCGAGGUGACACCACGCACACCGAGCCCUACACAGACUCCUCACGACACUCCUAUACCGGGUGCCUUGCACAUGCAUGAGGGAUCACUGUCGCCUAGUGGGCUGACACCUCCAGUUAGGCUGGAACCAGCACAACCACCAUCUCCGGUGCAAUCACCACCGGCUCCUGUGCAAUCACAGCCGGUGCUACGUAGAUCACAGCGACAGAUUCGACCACCUGAUAGACUUAACCUGUAAAUAUACUGGUAAGAAACUUCGCCCCAUGGGGACUCUCUUUUAAAACAAAGGGGGGGUGAAUGUGGUGAACUACAUAUACCUGUCUGGACACGCCCCCCUCCCCCCACUGACUGCUCCUGUGGCUCUUCCCACUGACCGUGGCUCCUCCCACAGACCCCGGUAUAAAGGCGAUUGGGGACUCCGCCUUGGUCUCAGUCCCCAGGAUGCAGCGUGGUGGUCAAUUGCUGCUUGUUCUUUCUUCCAGUCAAUAAAAGCCGAUAUCUCGCCUCACAUCUCCGAGAGUUAUUGAUGGUGCAUCACCCUCCCAACCCCAUUCUCCUGCAACCUUUCCUGUAACCUUUCAAGUCCUGAAAAAUCAAGAACCUAUAAGCCUCUGCCUUAAGUACACCCAAUGACCUGGCCUCCACAGCUACUUGUCGCAACGAGUUCCACAGAUUCACCACCCUCAGGCUGAAGAAAUUCCUCCUCAUCUCCAUUCUAAAUGGGUAUCCCUCUAUUCUAAGGCUAUGCCCUUUCGUCCUAGACUCCCCCAUUGUAGGAGAAAUCUGCUCCACAUCCACACUAUCUAGGCCAUUCAACAUUUAAUAGGUUUUCAUAGGAUCCACCCUCUUUCUUCUAAAUAUGAGCGAGUACAUGCCCAGAGCCAUCAAAUGCUUCUUAACCCUUUCAUUCCCAGAAUAAUUCUUGUGUACCUCCUCUGAACCCUCUCAGCACAUCCUUUCUUAGAUAACGGGGCACAAAACUGCUCAUAAUACUCCAAGUGAGGCCCCAACAGUGUCUUAUGAAGCCUCAGUAUUACAUCCUUGCCUUUAUAUUCUAGUUCUCUUGAAAUGAAUGCUAACAUUGCAUUUGCUUUCCUUACCACUGACUCAACCUGCAAGUUAACCCUUGGGGAAUCUUGCACGAGGUCUCAGAAAUCACUUUGCAUCUUUAUUUUUGAAUUUUCUGCCUGCUUAGAAAAUAUUCAAUGCUUUUGUUCCUUCUACCAAAAUGCAUGGACAUACACUUCCCAACAUUGUGCUCUAUCUGCCACUUAUUUGCCCAUUCUCCUAAUCUGUUUUAUGUCCUUUCACAGCCUCCCUACUUUCUCCACACUAACUGUCCCUCCACUUACCUUCGUAUUGUCUGCAAACUUGGCCACAAAGCCAUCAAUUUCAUCAACCAAAUCACUGACAUAUAGCAUAAAAAGUAGCGGUCCCAAUUCCAACCACUGCAGAAUACCAUUAGAUACCAAACAGAUUAGGUUCCCUUUAUUCCUACCCUUUGCCUGCUGCCAAUCAGCCUAUCUUCAAUCCAUCUAUUAUCUUUCCUGUAAUACCAUAGGCUCUUAUUAAGCAGCCUCAUGUGUGGCACCUUGUCAAAGGCCUUCUGGAAACCCAAGUACACAACAUCCAUCGAUUCUUCUUUGACUAUCUUGUUAUUUCCUCAAAAAAUUCCAGCAGAUUUGUCUGGCAAGAUUUUCCUUUAAGGAAACCAUGCUGGCUUUGGUCUUUUUUAUCACGUGUCCCCAAGUACCCCAAAGACUCAUGCUUAACAAUCGACUCCAACAUCUUUACUCAGAGUGGUAGCUGUGUGGAAUGAGCUUCCAGUAGAAGUGGUAGAGGAGGUUCGGUAUUGUCAUUUAAAGUAAAAUUGGAUAGGUAUAUGGACAGAAAAGGAAUGGAGGGUUAUGGGCUGAGUGCGGCUCAGUGGGACUAGGUGAGAGUAAGCGUUUGGCAUGGACUAGAAGGGCUGAGAUGGCCUGUUUCCAUGCUGUAAUUGUUGUAUGGUUAUAUGGGUUCCCAUCCCUUUGCCAAUUUACUUUACCCUAGCAAACCUGCCCACAAGGAUAUUGGUUUAUAGUUAUUUUGAUAGAGUAACAUAGCAUAGAAAUAGGUCUUUCGGCCCAAUUCAUCCAUGCUGACCAAGAUGCCUAACUGAGCUAGCCCCAUUUGAUCUAUAUCUCCUUGAAUCAAUGUACUGUACAUGUCCAAGUGUCUUUAAAUGUUGUGAUUGUUCCUGCCCUGUUCACUAUAACCAGUGGUACGGCUUAAGCCUUCUACCCCACAGCUCGAGUGUCCUGGGUUCAGUCCCCAUCUAAAGUGCUGUCUCUGCGGAGUUUGCACAUUCUGUUUGUGACUGCGUGAGCUUCUUCAGGGUGCUCCACGUUUCAUCCCAGGUCCUAAAGGUACGUCAGUUAACUGGCCAGUGUAAGUUGCUCCUGGUGUGCGGGUGAAUGGGAGAGUCUAGUGGAGUUGUUCAAAAUGCCUGAGGAACUCAGUAGGUCAUGUAACAUCUAUGGAAAAGAAUAAACAGUCAACAUUUAGGGCCAAGCCCUGGAAAGGAAUGGGGAAGAUGCAAAAAGGUGGGGGGAGGGCAGGGAGGCUGGCUGAACAAUG